UGCAUGUAUGACUGUCAGUUGCUCUGGAUAAAAGCAUCUGCUAAAUGGCAUAUA
rfam:Salmo salar isolate Sally breed double haploid chromosome ssa04, whole genome shotgun sequence.